GCGGAUGUGGCGAAAUUGGUAGACGCGCUGGAUUUAGGUUCCAGUGACUUUGGUCGUGGGGGUUCGAGUCCCUUCAUCCGCACCA
rnacentral:tRNA from 1 species